ensembl:lncRNA LINC00326 long intergenic non-protein coding RNA 326
ACUGCAGAGCACGUCUUUGAGCAAACAUAGAGUAUCUGGGACCACAGUAGUUCGCUCUAUAGGUGUGCCAAUCGGUAAUGAUCCAUGGCUGCAUACCCUGCUCUGUAAUACCCCAGCCGUCAGCCAACCAGAAAGCCCCAGAGACUUCUCCGGCCAUCUGAAAACACUGCCAUUAGAGAAGGUUCUGCCUGGCUGUUUUCUUCUCUUCCCGGGAAAUAUGGCCAGAUUAUUGCUGACCUAUCUGGAGGCAACAGGAACAUGGUAAUCUGUUCUUAUUCUAAUGGAUCUUCCAUAACGUUUCCCACAAAGAAUUACUAACCAUUCAUGACCUUCAUCAAAUAACGACUCUGUGGCUACUGAACUCUGCUUUCAACUGGGAGGUGGUUCACAGAUAAGGCUUCCAUUGGAAACAUCACAUAAUGGAUUUUCUCCCCAAGUAUGUUGCCUAUCACUAGGCCUGUCAAAGGUGGAUGCACAUAGACCAAAUCCAGUGGAGUGACUUUUUCCUUUGUAAUUUACCUUCUGUGGAAGGUAGGUAGGAUGUCCUCCAAUGAUGCCCACAUCCUAAUUCAUGGAACCUAUGACUAUGUUAUGUUACACAACAAAAUGGACUUUGUGAUGUAAUUAAGAAGAGAGACAAUCCUAAUCACACAAGACCUUAAAAGCUGAGAACUUCCUCCUGCUGGGGACAGGACAGAUGAGGCAGAAGGGGAGGUUAGGGAGGUUUGAAGAGUGAGAAGAACUUCUGCAGUGGCUGACUUGGAAGAUGAAGGAGGUUAUGAACCAGGGAAUGGGGGCAGCCUCUAGAGGCUGAGAACCUGCUGACACCUACCCACAACCGCUAAGGAAAUGAAGACUUUAAUUCCACAACUGCAUGCAACUAAACUCAGCCAACAACCUGAAUAAGUCGGAAAAAGGCUUCUCCAGAGCCUCCAGAUAAGAGGCCAGGCUGGCGACACCUUGAUUUUGACCUUGUGAGACCUAGAGCAGAGAAACUAGCCAAGAUCACUCAGACUUCUGAUCUACAGAACUGUGAGACCGUAAAUUUAUGUUGUAUUAAGCCACUAAUUGCGUGGGAAUUUGUUACAGGAGCAAUAGAAAAUGAAUACACCUUCUGAUGUAGUUUAAUCAGUUGACAUUAGUCUUCCACUAUAGGAAAUGGGAAUUUAAAGAUGAUCAGAAGACAGUUGGGAGCAGAGUGAGAAUAAGAACCCUCAACUGCUGUCUCACCUUUCAGAUCACGAAGAAGUUUUUUACAAUGAGCAGAACACUCAACCUGAAAGCAGAAUGGAUUGAGUCACUGCAGCGUGGCAGUGGAAUGGUGUUUGAUGUUGGCAAAGGAAACAUGUACUUCUAGACUGGACAGUUUUCCCUUAGUUUACAGUUUCCAAAUAGAGACAUCACUUUGAAAUAACAUGGAGAACAUACAUGGAUGUACUGAACGAAGAAUAAAGUCUGUGUUGCAGUCCUGUC